rnacentral:rRNA from 1 species
UUAAUUGAAGAGUUUGAUCAUGGCUCAGAUUGAACGCUGGCGGCAGGCCUAACACAUGCAAGUCGAGCGGCAGCACAGAGGAACUUGUUCCUUGGGUGGCGAGCGGCGGACGGGUGAGUAAUGCCUGGGAAAUUGCCCGGUAGAGGGGGAUAACCAUUGGAAACGAUGGCUAAUACCGCAUAACCUCGCAAGAGCAAAGCAGGGGACCUUCGGGCCUUGCGCUACCGGAUAUGCCCAGGUGGGAUUAGCUAGUUGGUGAGGUAAGGGCUCACCAAGGCGACGAUCCCUAGCUGGUCUGAGAGGAUGAUCAGCCACACUGGAACUGAGACACGGUCCAGACUCCUACGGGAGGCAGCAGUGGGGAAUAUUGCACAAUGGGCGCAAGCCUGAUGCAGCCAUGCCGCGUGUAUGAAGAAGGCCUUCGGGUUGUAAAGUACUUUCAGUAGGGAGGAAGGUGGUUAAGUUAAUACCUUAAUCAUUUGACGUUACCUACAGAAGAAGCACCGGCUAAC